GGUGCGUCCCCGCACAGCUUUCCGCCCCGGCGCUUUAUGGCCGCGGCGGGGCCCGGCGUCAUGAGCGACAGCGACGCCCUCGACUACUCGGUGCACGAGGCCUGGAACGAGGCCACCAACGUCUACCUGCUGGUGGUGCUGGCCAGCCUGGCGCUGCUGGUCUACGCCCGCCGGAAUAAAAGGAAGAUCAUGCGAAUAUUCACAGUGCCUCCUACAGCAGAGGCACCGUCAGAGCCAAACUUUUACGACAGUAUGAAAAAAAUCCGCUUACGACAACAAUUAGAGAUGUAUUCUCUCGCUGCUUUCCCUGCAGAGUUGGAGAUAAGUUUGAUAUGUUGAUACUCCAAACUUCCAUGGCAGCUAGAAGCGUCAGGGAGCCCACUACACUGGGAGCUAGCAUCCUUCAAAACUCUUCAGCAAGGAAGUAUGACCAGCAGCCGCCACCGAAACAGACUGACAGCGUACAGCUCUCAAUGGAAUGAAGUCUCAAAUUGUGGGAACUCAAGCAAUUUUUACAGUGCUGAUAAUGACAGGAGAGUUGGUAUGGAGUCAUUUUCAAAGGAACUUUAAUGGCGUAUGUUUUUAAAAAAAACUCUCCUAUAUAUUUCUUGGAAACGUUUCUUUGGGCCUGUUUAGGUACUUACUGAACAUCUAUUGAUUCUUUAAAAAUGAAAGCACCUAAUACAUUCCAGUCUUGCUCAAAGAAACACUUGAGGGAAGAUGGCUGUAGUCCAUACUAAAGAGAUGUUCAAAAUGUUCCAGUGGUUUCCACUGUUGCCAAUACUUUGGUGAGCAGCUCCUUUGCUGAACAGAGGUAUUUUUGCAACAUGGCAAUAGAGGACGUUGAGGUUAUUGGGUAAGUUUCUACUGUCUGUCUCCUCAGGAUGGGUUCUUAGGGGAACAAAUGGAAGAGUCAUGCAGUGCCUGUGUGCCUGAACGUUGCCAAGUUUUAUGUCUCAUUUGAACAUCAUUGGUUUCUGCUGUCAGGGACCACAGAACAGAACAUUUAUAAUACAUGUAAAUUCACAGCUGAAGUGAAUAGCUCUUGAGAGCCAGAAAUGUAUAUCAUUGGCCUUAUUGGAGGAAAAAAAUGAAAUUUUCAUCUGUACAGAGAGAAUAAUUAUAGUAUUGUACCUUCCAUGCUGAAGCUUUAAUGAAAGCUAAGAUCAGGAGGGUAGUACAUAAGUCUUGUUUGCUAAAGGACUGUAUAUUGUAAUGCUGUAGCGAAGAUUAUUAAAAUUAGAGAGGACUCCAAUAAACCAGCCAACUAAGUGAGGUCUCUCCCUGGCUAGCUGGAGCACUUGAUUGCCUGUUCUUUUCAUUCCCUCUGAAGCACCUGGGAUUGGCCACUGUUGGAAGAUGGACCAUUGGUCUGAUCCAGUAUGGCCAUUCUUAUGUCCUCCCCCAGUCCCAGGGGCAGUUAUCAGCCAGUGCAAACUGGUGAGUCUCUUAGGAUCAGAUUAGGACAGAAAAUCUGACUUGUAUCCUUUAAAAUGCCACAGUAGAGCUGUGCAGAUGGAGAAAUAAUACAUAUGGAGCAACAGAGGAAGGAAAGGCUGAUUCUGACAGGAAAAAUGCAGCCUAAUACAUCUGUAAAAUAAUAUUCAGUGGGAGGGGAAGUUAAACUUGUAAACAUGUUGGAUAUCAGAGAAAUUAGAGAUUGAAGAAACCUAUUAGGUUAUUUAUAUCUGUCCUGCUAGUGAAGGAUUGUAUUUACACUCAAGUUUCUACUUGUAAAUUUCAAGUGGUGGAUCUUCCUUUGGAAGAUUAAUCAAUAGUAGAUCUCAAGUUGGGAAGUUGCCCCUGAUUUUCAGCCUUAAUUUCCCCUUCUUAAAGUGCUCUUGGGUUGUGAAAUGCUGUUUUUUUGUAUUGUAUUUUAAUGUGUUUAAUGGCAUUUAAUAGUAAAAUACACGUUGAACUGA